rnacentral:rRNA from 1 species
GUAGUCCACGCCCUAAACGAUGCGAACUGGACGUUGGUUGCAACUUGGCAAUCAGUGUCGAAGCUAACGCGUUAAGUUCGCCGCCUGGGGAGUACGGUCGCAAGACUGAAACUCAAAGGAAUUGACGGGGGCCCGCACAAGCGGUGGAGUAUGUGGUUUAAUUCGAUGCAACGCGAAGAACCUUACCUGGCCUUGACAUCCAGUGAACUUUCCAGAGAUGGAUUGGUGCCUUCGGGAACACUGAGACAGGUGCUGCAUGGCUGUCGUCAGCUCGUGUCGUGAGAUGUUGGGUUAAGUCCCGCAACGAGCGCAACCCUUGUCCUUAGUUGCCAGCACGUAAAGGUGGGAACUCUAAGGAGACUGCCGGUGACAAACCGGA